CAUAUGCUCUCAAAGUGGUGGGGGAGAGAGGGCUGGUGUUUGAGAGUUACUUUACACUGUGCUUCCCCGGCUCUGCAACAACAUCAAGCCACGGCAUGAAUAAUGCAGGCUGUUUUGUUUUGUGCUAUGAAUCCAUUGACGGCAUGAUGGGAUGAAGUGCACAUUUAAAUAUAUUGAUUUGAUUCUUUUUUGAUUUGUUAGUGUGGAAAUAACUGAGAGGCAGGGCCAGGCGAGGGAGAACCCCUAUUGAUAUAUGAGGUAAGUAGAGGCAUAUGGAAACAUGAAUUACUCUAUAAAUCAAAGCAAAAGGAGUGGGACCAGAAUAUGAGAAAAUUGAUGAUAAAUACAAUUUGAUCUCAUUAAUGGGUACAUUCCAGCAUCCAAUUUAGAGAGAGCACAAUGCUGAUAUGGUGAACAGAAACAAAUAAAAGAAAAGCGUUGUGGCAAUUACCUCAUUGUUAACCUUGCUGUGUAUGUAGUGAAGUACUAUGAGAUUAGCUAACUAAGAUCAAGAAAUGGUAAUGAGAAGCGAAUGUAAAACACAAGUAUUAUUUUAAUAGCUUGUAAAGGGAAUGGAUUCACAUACAAGGCUUGAACUUAAAUGACAUUAACACUGUUUUCAUAACGUUCGCAUGAUGAGAUAGAGAGACAUAAUAUGUAUAUAGACAUAAUAUGACAUUUGACAUUAUUCUUUUGUAACUUUUGUAAGUGUAAUGUUUACUGUUAAUUUUGUAUUGUUUAUUUCACUUUUGUUUAUGAUCUAUUUCACUUGCUUUGACAAAGUAAACAUAUGUUUCCCAUUCCAAUAAAGCUCCUUAAAUUGAAAUGUAAUUGAGAGAAAGGCCAUGCACCAACAGUCCAUGGGGAGGAGAGAGAGCGAGAGAGGCAGUGUACUAUCGACAAAGGACAGUGGUAAAAAGUUGGACUACUUUCUGGACGAUGAAUGCUGACUCACUCUCACUCGGAAAAUAACACGUUUUGAAAUCAGUGGAACACAACAGGCCAAACAAGCUGUGCAAACUAAACGGAAACACAGGAUGUCUUAUAAAAGGUUUGCAGUCUGCGGUGAAGCUUUCAUCCAUGUAUACAGCAUCAAUUAGUAGAACAUGCCUGACUCUAAUCCACCAGUCAUACAGUCAUCAAAAAGAGAGCUAGCGCAAGCAAAGGCAGCAGCGCAGUCAUCAACUACAUGCGCCAUUUCUUCACCUACUACAGAGUUGGGAUAACACGUAUGAACCUGAAUUGUGAUAACUGCAGUGGCCAAAACAAGAACAAUUUUGUGCUCUGGUAUUGUGCCUGGUGGACCAUGCACAGGCUCCACCACAAUCUGGACCUUCACUUCCUGAUCACUGUUAGGGUUGCGUCAAUUCGAAUCUGGUAUCAGGAUAAAUAUGAUAUUGAGUCACCGAUUGUGUACUAUGUAUUUUUUAUUAGCUAAGUAAUAAGUGGUAAAUGCAAUUUUCGUAUAUACGGGCUCUCUGUCCCACCUCACAGGGCAAACAGAGAACUGACUUGUUCCUGACAAAUAUAUUAUAAUAUACUCUGAUGACAGAAGUAGUUCCUGCUUCCGAGCAGGCCUGUCAGAGUAGAGACUGGGCGUGGUUUAGACUCACCCAGCCUAUCGUUGAUUGUUGGCGCAGAGCUGGUCCCAUCCCGCGGGCGCUCCAGUGGUCAGUCGUUGUAGUUGUGUAGAAUAUACAGUUAUCAGGCACCUGGCUCCUGUUAUCUAACAAAAGACCGUUUGUUCUCGCAACACUACGUUCUGAAUGUGACCCCCCCCCAACUCAUUGCACAGUUCCUGUCUUCAUGUUAUUCUGUAUUUUUCCAUCAUGAGAAAGGCUCAUGGCCCUGAAACUGUUAACAAUGUCUCAAGUCAGCUAUGUUGCAUAACACAUAUACCCACACAAGCCAACAGCAAAUAAUAUUCCAUCACAUAUGAUAUGGUAAGGGCUAUAGUGUAUAACACAGAACCUCACAAUCCCCCUUUGGCGCCCAAUGAAUUGUGAUAACUGCAGUGGCCAAAACAAGAACAAUGUUGUGCUCUGGUAUUGUGCCUGGUGGACCAUGCACAGGCUCCACCACAAUCUGGACCUUCACUUCCUGAUCAUAGACCACCUCCAGUUUGCACCCAACUGGUGCUUCGGCCUCAUCAAGCAGCGCUUCAGAAAGACCAGAGUGGACUCUUUGUCUGAGAUUGCUGGUAUUGUGAAGGACAGCACUGUGACAGCAGUCAACAUCCCACAGCUGGUUGGACUGGAGGAUGGUACAGUGCUGGUGGAAAGCUAUGGCUGGCAACAACACCUGACUCUGUACUUCAGGCUGCUGCCACAGAUCAAGCUGUACCAGCACUUCAGGAGCCUUGUGAUGUCGCCAAAGAGCGUUCGGACUGUCAGGACCAGGUUUCAGCUGCUGCGCAACACUGACAUCCUUCCUCCCAUAGAUAGUCUGCCUGCAAAAGCACCACCUGGACUGGACACACCUAGACAAACAGUCUUUUUGGGAAGAUCAGGGAGUUUUGCGACGAAGAGGCUAUGGACAUCACAUGCACUGCACCAAAGUCAAGGGCAGGACAGAAACAGGCUCUCCGAAAAUAGAUUCCCUUGUUCAUGCGUGGUUUGGACGGACCAGUCAUCAGCGCUAUCUGCAGUGCCUCUAUUCACAUGACUCUCUCCUAACACACACGCCAUAUGUUGCUGCUACUAUUGUUUAUCCCUGCUGCUCAGCCACUUCACCCCUGAUUGUAUGCCUAUAAUUACCUCGUCUAUCACUGAUAUUGUUAUUGAUAUUGUUCUUGUAUAUACAGUACUGUAUAUUUUAUUUGUACUGAUACUAUCUAUUUCUAAUAUUGCUACAAUACAAGUAACCAUUCGGCUGUACAGUUUACACCUUCUGUAGAGACCAUCCACUUAGCAAGACUUGGCAAAAUAUUGAUAUAUGAAAUGAAUAUUGAUGUCUGGUUGUAACAUGAUUUUGUGACAUAACCACAACAAUAUCAUGUGACUGUAUCAAGUGUCCACCAAAUAAAUAUAUGGCGCAUGCAGCUGUUUAUGUACAGUACUGUUUAUGUACAGUAUGGUUUACGUACAGCAAAAAAAACUCACUCAGUUUGCAUGGACUUAACUUAUGUAUAGAAUACUAUAUGAUAAGUGCAUGUGUAACAGUAUAUAAAGUAUGCUAAUGUACUGGUGUGAAGGCAUUUGGGCAGUGGUGUAAAGUAAUUAAGUAGUACUUUAAAGUAUUUUUUACUUAAGUCAUUGUUUAUGGUAUCUGUACAUUACUUUACCAUUUAUUUUUUGGGCAAUUUUUACUUCACUACAUUCAUAAAGAAAAUAAUGUACUUUUUACUCCAUACAUUUUUCUUGACACCACAAAGUACUCGUUACAUUUUGACAGGAAAAUUUUCCAACUCACACAUCCCUGUACAUCCCUACUGUCUCUGAUCUGGCAGACUCACUAAACACAAAUGCUUAAUUUGUAAAUUAUGUCUGAGUGUUGGUGUGUGCCUGGCUCUCUGUCAAUAAAAAUAAUAAAAUAG